UACAGAGGUCUCAAGCGUUGUUCGGAAUCAUUGGGCGUAAAGCGCGUGUAGGCGGCCAGGUAAGUCCGUUCUGAAAGCCCGGGGCUCAACCCCGGGAGGCGGAUGGAUACUGCUUGGCUCGAGUCCGGAAGAGGCGAGUGGAAUUCCCGGUGUAGUGGUGAAAUGCGCAGAUAUCGGGAGGAACACCAAUGGCGAAGGCAGCUCGCUGGGACGGUACUGACGCUGAGACGCGAAAGCGUGGGGAGCAAACAGG
rnacentral:rRNA from 1 species